AAGCGAGGGGUCCCGCCUCUUCGAUUCCACCGGGAAGAUGCCAAACCUAGAUUAUUUAGAGGAAGUAAAAGUCGUAACAAUGUUUCUGUUGGUGAACCUGCGGAAGGAUCAUUAACGU
rnacentral:rRNA from 1 species